rnacentral:lncRNA from 1 species
UGUUUUUGUUUUUGUUUUUCGCGUGGUACCAAGGUUGUACUUAAGGUGUCUAAAAAAUGCGAGAGAAGACAAUAUUAUAAUCAAGCUAAUUAAUGCGAAAGAAGACAAUAUUAUAAAAUGCGGGUGUAAUACAAAUAAAGAAAUAAAAAUAUUGUCGUCUGAUCCGCUAAACUUUUGCCACUACUCUGAUUAGUGGCAGCUUUAAAGAGGCCGUUUUUCCAACAAGUAAGCGAUUGGUUGAGGUUUUUCCAAUGACCUUGAAGACCUUGAUUCGUUCUUGUGGCGCCAAACUUCUCGCAAUUGCAUCUCAUUACCCGUAAUCGGGUCAUGAGUAGCUUGAACCCACCAUUCACACAAUGUAACAUCUCUGAUGACCGUCCAAUUAGUCAUUUUUUUUUCACACAAAAGUAUAUGAAAACUUUGGUUGAAACUAUUGAAAAUAUUGAAAUGUGGUAUAAGGUGGAAGAUGAUGGUUAGAUAUUUAUAGUAAAAAAAAAAAUUGUUUUAUUUUUUUUGUAUUUUUAAACAAUUUUUAAUAUUUUUUUACAUUUUUUAUUAAGUUAAUUAAUUU